GAUGAACGCUGACAGAAUGCUUAACACAUCAGCAAUUGAUUGGUGGCGGACGGGUGAGUAACGCGUAAAGAACUUACCUCACAGUUAGGGACAACAUUUGGAAACGAAUGCUAAUACCUAAUACUGUGAGAGAGCUUUGCGUCCCAUUAGCUAGUUGGAGAGGUAACGGCUCACAAAGGCGAUGAUGGGUAGCCGGCCUGAGAGGGUGAUCGGACAAAAGGGGACUGUGACACGGCCCUUACUCCUACGGGCGGCAGCAGUGGGGAAUAUCAGACAACGGACCAAAGUCUGAUACAGCAAUUGUGGGUGCACGAUGAAGCUCUCGGAAUGUAAAGUGCUUGCAGUUGGGAAGCGGUACCAACAGAAGAAGGAACGACUAAAUACGUGCCAGCAGCCGCGGUAAUAC
rnacentral:rRNA from 1 species